rnacentral:rRNA from 1 species
UGGGGAAUAUUGGACAAUGGGCGAAAGCCUGAUCCAGCCAUGCCGCGUGGAUGAAGAAGGCCCUAGGGUUGUAAAAUCCUUUCGUGGGGGACGAUAAUGACGGUACCCCAAGAAGAAGCUCCGGCUAACUUCGUGCCAGCAGCCGCGGUAAUACGAAGGGGGCUAGCGUUGUUCGGAAUCACUGGGCGUAAAGCGCACGUAGGCGGAUAGUUAAGUCAGGGGUGAAAUCCUGGGGCUCAACCCCAGAACUGCCUUUGAUACUGGCUGUCUCGAGGUCGAGAGAGGUUGGUGGAAUUCCUAGUGUAGAGGUGAAAUUCGUAGAUAUUAGGAAGAACACCAGUGGCGAAGGCGGCCAACUGGCUCGAUACUGACGCUGAGGUGCGAAAGCGUGGGGAGCAAACGGGAUUAGAUACCCAUGUAGUCCCUGAGCGGGCUGGCAAGGCGCAU